rnacentral:rRNA from 1 species
AUACGUAGGGGGCAAGCGUUGUCCGGAAUGAUUGGGCGUAAAGGGCGCGUAGGCGGCCCGGUAAGUCUGAAGUGACAGUCCUGUUUUUAAGAUGGGAAUUGCUUUGGAUACUGUCGGGCUUGAGUGCAGGAGAGGUAAGUGGAAUUCCCAGUGUAGCGGUGAAAUGCGUAGAGAUUGGGAGGAACACCAGUGGCGAAGGCGACUUACUGGACUGUAACUGACGCUGAGGCGCGAAAGUGUGGGGAGCAAACAGGAUUAGAUACCCUGGUAGUCCACACUGUAAACGAUGAAUGCUAGGUGUAGGGGGUAUCGACCCCUUCUGUGCCGCAGUCAACACAAUAAGCAUUCCGCCUGGGGAGUACGGCCGCAAGGUUGAAACUCAAAUGAAUUGACGGGG